rnacentral:rRNA from 1 species
AUGCUUCUCCUAAAGACUAAGCCAUGCAUGCCUUCGAAUAAGAAGAAGCAAUUCUCUCUGAAUCUGCGAACGGCUCCGCAAACCAGUUGUAAACUAUAGCGAGCAUACUCCUGGCCCUCGGGUCGGGGGUAACAAGGAUAACCCUGGUAAUUCUGAGGCUAAUACUCGACCGUACAAUCCGGCCGACCACCAAAGGCAGGCUGGAGGACGUGUUUUUAAUCGCAGAUGCGCCGGGAAAGGAAACACGUUCAGACCGUCAUACAAAACGGUAUCGGGCCGAACCGUCUCCCUCGGGGGGCGGGGAAGCUCGUGUCCGGGCGGCUCUCGCAAUGUGCUUCUGACCUAUCAACUAGAUGGCAGCGUAAGGGGCAUGCUAUGGUUACAACGGGUACAGAGGAUAAGGGUUCGAUCCUGGAGAGUGGGCCUGAGAGAUUGCUCACACUUCUAAGGAAGGCAGCAGGCGCGCAACGUUCCCAUUGGGCAAUGCCCGAGGGCGUUAGGGGACAUAUGAAUGCCUGUCUUAUGAUGGGCAAUUCAAAUGGGUUCGUUCUAAACAACCCU